rnacentral:rRNA from 1 species
CCUACGGGUGGCAGCAGUGAGGAAUAUUGGUCAAUGGACGAGAGUCUGAACCAGCCAAGUAGCGUGAAGGAUGACUGCCCUAUGGGUUGUAAACUUCUUUUAUAAAGGAAUAAAACGAGGCACGUGUGCCUUUUUGCAUGUACUUUAUGAAUAAGGAUCGGCUAACUCCGUGCCAGCAGCCGCGGUAAUACGGAGGAUCCGAGCGUUAUCCGGAUUUAUUGGGUUUAAAGGGAGCGUAGAUGGGUUGUUAAGUCAGUUGUGAAAGUUUGCGGCUCAACCGUAAAAUUGCAAUUGAUACUGGCAGUCGUGAGUACAGUUGAGGUAGGCGGAAUUCGUGGUGUAGCGGUGAAAUGCUUAGAUAUCACGAAGAACCCCGAUUGCGAAGGCAGCUUACUAAACUGUGACUGACAUUGAUACUCGAAAGUGUGGGUAUCAAACAGGAUUAGAUACCCCGGUAGUC